CUUUGUGCUGUGACCGCGUGCUUUUUGCAUAACGAGCCGGCGAGUUACGCGUCUGCGGCAAGGUUAAGCGAUGAGCGGAGCCGAAGGGAAACCGAGUCCUAACAGGGCGAGCAGUCGUAGGCGGUAGACCCGAAACUGAGCGAGCUACCCAUGGGCAGGUUGAAGCGGCCGUAACGGGCCGUGGAGGACCGAACCCACCGAUGUUGAAAAAUCGGGGGAGGACCCGUGGGGAGGAGUGAAAGUCUUAUCAAACCUGGAGAUAGCUCGUUCUCUCCGAAAUGGCUUUAGGGCCAGCCUCGGGCAGUACCUGGCGGGGGUAGAGCGACGGAAUUCGGCCGGGGGGCUUCCCGCCUACCCGCCGAAACCCAACUCCGAAUACCGCCAGGCGGACCCCGGGAGUCAGAGCGUGGGGGAUAAGCUUCACGCUCGAGAGGGAAACAACCCAGACCGCCGACCAAGGCCCCCAAGUUGACGCUCAGUGGCAAAGGAAGUGGGAUCGCGGUGACAGCCGGGAUGUUGGCUUAGAAGCAGCCACCAUUUCAAAAGUGCGUAACAGCUUACCGGUCGAGCCAUCCCGCGCCGAAAAUGACGGGGACUCAAGCGUCACGCCGCAGUCGCGGGUUCGAGAAAUCGAGCAGUAGGAGAGCGUCGCCAUCAGCGGCGAAGCCGUACGGCAACGAACGGUGGAGCGGUGGCGAGUGCGUAUGCCGGAAUGAGUAACGAUAAGACGGGUGGGAAGCCCGUCCGCCGAAAGCACAAGGUUUCCUGGGGAAGGUCAAUCCGCCCAGGGUCAGUCGGGACCUAAGGCGAGGCCCAAGGGCGUAGCCGAUGGGCACGCGGUUAAUAUUCCGCGACCCGAUGGUGAGGUUGAAGCGGCGAGGACGCCGGGAAAUGAGGGGUCGGGGCGCUAGAUCACCCCGUCCCGCAAGGGCGACGGCAUUCGAUCCGGAAGCCCCUCUUCACCCGGCCGCGAAAAGCCCGCCGUGGACGAACCAUCGGCCCGUACCGCAAUCCGACACAGGUGUGCUAGGCGAGCAUCCGAAGGCGUUCGGGAGAACCCUCGUGAAGGAACUCGGCAAAAUGACCCCGUACCUUCGGUAUAAGGGGUGCUCAUCCCGCGAGGGGUGAGCCGCAGAGAAUCGGCUCUAGCGACUGUUUAUCAAAAACACAGGACUCUGCC
rnacentral:rRNA from 1 species